CCUACGGGAGGCAGCAGUGAGGAAUAUUGGUCAAUGGACGAGAGUCUGAACCAGCCAAGUAGCGUGAAGGAUGACUGCCCUAUGGGUUGUAAACUUCUUUUAUAUGGGAAUAAAAUGUUCCACGUGUGGGCUUUUGUAUGUACCAUAUGAAUAAGGAUCGGCUAACUCCGUGCCAGCAGCCGCGGUAAUACGGAGGAUGCGAUCGUUAUCCGGAUUUCUUGGGUUUAAAGGGAGCGUAGGUGGAUGGUUAAGUCAGUGGGGAAAGUUUGCGGCGCAACCGUAAAAUUGCAGUUGAAACUGGCAGACUUGAGUACAGUAGAGGUGGGCGGAAUUCGUGGUGUAGCGGUGAAAUGCGUAGAUAUCACGAAGAACUCCGGUUGCGAAGGCAGUUCACUGGACUGCAACUGACACUGAGGCUCGAAAGUGUGGGUAUCAAACAGGAUUAGAUACCCCAGUAGUC
rnacentral:rRNA from 1 species